AAAGGAAUUGACGGGGGCCCGCACAAGCGGAGGAACAUGUGGUUUAAUUCGAUGAUACGCGAGGAACCUUACCCGGGCUUAAAUUGCACUGGACAGGCUCAGAGAUGGGCUCUUCUUCGGACCAGUGUGAAGGUGCUGCAUGGUUGUCGUCAGCUCGUGCCGUGAGGUGUCGGCUUAAGUGCCAUAACGAGCGCAACCCUUGCCAAUAGUUGCCAUCAGGUCAUGCUGGGAACUCUAUUGGGACUGCCAUCGUAAGAUGUGAGGAAGGUGGGGAUGACGUCAAAUCAGCACGGCCCUUACGUCCGGGGCUACACACGUGUUACAAUGGGAGGUACAGAAGGCUGCUACCCGGCGACGGGAUGCCAAUCCCCAAAACCUCUCUCAGUUCGGAUUGGAGUCUGCAACCCGACUCCAUGAAGCUGGAUUCGCUAGUAAUCGCGCAUCAGCCACGGCGCGGUGAAUACGUUCCCGGGCCUUGUACACACCGCCCGU
rnacentral:rRNA from 1 species